rnacentral:rRNA from 1 species
CAUCUCGGGUGACGAGCGGCGGACGGGUGAGUAAUGUCUGGGAAACUGCCUGAUGGAGGGGGAUAACUACUGGAAACGGUAGCUAAUACCGCAUAACGUCGCAAGACCAAAGUGGGGGACCUUCGGGCCUCAUGCCAUCAGAUGUGCCCAGAUGGGAUUAGCUAGUAGGUGGGGUAACGGCUCACCUAGGCGACGAUCCCUAGCUGGUCUGAGAGGAUGACCAGCCACACUGGAACUGAGACACGGUCCAGACUCCUACGGGAGGCAGCAGUGGGGAAUAUUGCACAAUGGGCGCAAGCCUGAUGCAGCCAUGCCGCGUGUGUGAAGAAGGCCUUCGGGUUGUAAAGCACUUUCAGCGGGGAGGAAGGCGUUAAGGUUAAUAACCUUGUCGAUUGACGUUACCCGCAGAAGAAGCACCGGCUAACUCCGUGCCAGCAGCCGCGGUAAUACGGAGGGUGCAAGCGUUAAUCGGAAUUACUGGGCGUAAAGCGCACGCAGGCGGUCUGUCAAGUCGGAUGUGAAAUCCCCGGGCUCAACCUGGGAACUGCAUUCGAAACUGGCAGGCUAGAGUCUUGUAGAGGGGGGUAGAAUUCCAGGUGUAGCGGUGAAAUGCGUAGAGAUCUGGAGG